CCUACGGGUGGCAGCAGUGAGGAAUAUUGGUCAAUGGACGAGAGUCUGAACCAGCCAAGUAGCGUGAAGGAUGACUGCCCUAUGGGUUGUAAACUUCUUUUAUAUGGGAAUAAAAUGUUCCACGUGUGGGAUUUUGUAUGUACCAUAUGAAUAAGGAUCGGCUAACUCCGUGCCAGCAGCCGCGGUAAUACGGAGGAGCCGAGCGUUAUCCGGAUUUAUUGGGUUUAAAGGGAGCGUAGGUGGAUGGUUAAGUCAGUUGUGAAAGUUGGCGGCUCAACCGUAAAAUUGCAGAUGAAACUGGCAGUCUUGAGUACAGUAGAGGUGGGCGGAAUUCGUGGUGUAGCAGUGAAAUGCUUAGAUAUCGCGAAGAACUCCGAUUGCGAAGGCAGUUCACUGGACUGCAACUGACACUGAGGCACGAAGGUGUGGGUAGCAAACGGGAUUAGAUACCCCAGUAGUC
rnacentral:rRNA from 1 species